UACAGAGGGUGCAAGCGUUAAUCGGAAUUACUGGGCGUAAAGCGAGCGUAGUCGGUUAUUUAAGUCGGGUGUGAAAGCCCCGGGCUCAACCUGGGAAUUGCAUUCGAUACUGGAUAGCUAGAGUUCGGCAGAGGGAAGCGGAAUUUCCGGUGUAGCGGUGAAAUGCGUAGAUAUCGGAAGGAACAUCAGUGGCGAAAGCGACUUCCUGGACCAAUACUGACGCUCAUGUGCGAAAGCGUGGGGAGCAAACAGG
rnacentral:rRNA from 1 species